rnacentral:rRNA from 1 species
GAUGAACGCUAGCGGCAGGCCUAAUACAUGCAAGUCGAACGGGCGGUAGCAAUACCGCUCGUGGCGCACGGGUGCGUAACGCGUAACCAACCUGCCCAGAUCUGGGGGAUAGCCCGCCGAAAGGCGGAUUAAUACCGCAUAAACCCACAGUGUGGCAUCACAUAAUGGGUAAAGAUUUAUCGGAUCUGGAUGGGGUUGCGUAGCAUUAGCUAGUUGGCGGGGUAAUGGCCCACCAAGGCGACGAUGCUUAGGGGACCUGAGGGGGUGAUCCCCCACACUGGCACUGAGAUACGGGCCAGACUCCUACGGGAGGCAGCAGUAGGGAAUAUUGGGCAAUGGGCGAGAGCCUGACCCAGCCAUGCCGCGUGCCGGAUGAAGGCCUUCUGGGUUGUAAACGGCUUUUCUCAGGGAAGAAAACGGGGAUGCGUCCUCAACUGACGGUACCUGAGGAAUAAGCACCGGCUAACUCCGUG